rnacentral:rRNA from 1 species
GCCAGCCCGCUCAGAAACUCAAAGGAAUUGACGGGGCCCGCACAAGCGGUGGAGUAUGUGGUUUAAUUCGAUGCAACGCGAAGAACCUUACCUGGUCUUGACAUCCCGGAGACCCUUAGGAAACUAGGGGGUGCUUCCAUCUGGAAGAAUCUGGAGACAGGUGCUGCAUGGCUGUCGUCAGCUCGUGUCGUGAGAUGUUGGGUUAAGUCCCGCAACGAGCGCAACCCUUGCCUUUAGUUGCCAGCAGUUCGGCUGGGCACUCUAAAGGGACUGCCGGUGUUAAACCGGAGGAAGGUGGGGAUGACGUCAAGUCCUCAUGGCCUUUAUGACCAGGGCUACACACGUACUACAAUGGCCGAUACAAAGGGCAGCGACACUGCGAGGUGAAGCCAAUCCCGUAAAAUCGGUCUCAGUCCGGAUUGGAGUCUGCAACUCGACUCCAUGAAGUUGGAAUCGCUAGUAAUCGUGGAUCAGCAUGCCACGGUGAAUACGUUCCCGGGCCUU